GACAGAGGGUGCAAACGUUGUUCGGAAUUACUGGGCGUAAAGCGCGUGUAGGCGGCUAUGUAAGUCGGGCGUGAAAUCCCACGGCUCAACCGUGGAAGUGCACCCGAAACUGCGUAGCUAGAGUCCUGGAGAGGAAGGUGGAAUGCUUGGUGUAGAGGUGAAAUUCGUAGAUAUCAAGCGGAACACCGGUGGCGAAGGCGGCCUUCUGGACAGUGACUGACGCUGAGACGCGAAAACGUGGGUAGCAAACAGG
rnacentral:rRNA from 1 species